rnacentral:lncRNA from 1 species
UGAAAAGUAAAAAAAAUUGGAAAAGACUGACUGAAAAUGAGAGAAGAGACAAGGCAGUGUUAAACAGGGCUAGGGCUGAACUGGAUAGAGUUGUCAUUAAAAAUUUUAUAUAUAUAUCACACACACACACACACACACACACACACACACAUAUAUAUUUUGCCUGCAUGAUUGAUGUCUUUGACCAUUUCAGCUAUUAUGUCAGCAAGGGAAAUCAGUUAAAACAGUUGUUGUAUAUAACAGCUUGAACAUUAAGAAAUGCAGGUUUCCCUUUAAGUCGAUAACAGCUUCUUCUGGAUUGGUGGUGGGGAUAAUGGAGUAGCCAAUCAGAACAGAUCCAGGCUGGCAAGAAACCAAUGGAAGGUAGGCUUGGAAACUGCUUUGCCCCUUGUGUUAGUUGGCAGUGCUGUCCUUGGCAAACAGAUGCAGAGCUGAGCUUUGUUCUGAGAUUUUGAGAGCCUUCACCUUGAUUUCAACUCAGAAGCAGCUUAGGUUUGGAAGAACCAUCUCUUGGUAGUUUGGAGAACUUGAUUUAAAGCAGGUUAGUCUGAAGUGGUAAAGGUGUCAGUAAUAAUAGAUGUGAAUCCAUCAAGUUAUGGAAAAACAAUGGAAAAAAAUGAAUACUUCCUUUUGGUCACAAGGAGACAGUUCCAAAUCUGAUUUACUUUGCGGAAAUCCACCUGAUUACCUUGUAACAAAGCAAAAUUUCCCACUGCUCAUAUGUGCCAUUAGUGUUUUGGGAGGUAUUUUGAAGGUGCUUUUAAAGAAUCAUGACUUCAUUGUCUUGACAAUUCUUUCUCUAUUAGGAUUUGUGUUAGGACAACUGGCCUACUAUUUUGUUGAGGUGCGUGAACUUAUUUACCCUCUUCUAAGAACACCAAGCUUUUCACUUUAUUGUUAUUUUAUACCUUUAAUUACAUUUAUGGUUUCAUUGGAAUUGGACUUUUAUAUACUGAAGAAUGUAUUUUGGCAGGUAAGAACACGUUUUAAAACAAAUUACUGUCAUUGCUUGCUUAUACAUGUUGAUAGAAAAUAUAACUAUAUAAAAAUUAAUCAUUCAUAAAUCUCACGUUUUUAGUUGUUUUAUGCUCUUGGUUUUGAAGAAUCACUAAUUAAAGAGAGUCGAGGAGAAGGAGAAGGAACUAAUAUUUGUUGAGGCACCACUGUGACGAGACACUGAGUAAAAAUCAUCCCCAUUUUUUUUCUUGAAGUUUUAUGGUCAGUUUAUUAAGUUCACUGGUGAAAGUUAUCAGAAGAAUAUUCUCCUGAGAGUUAUUUUUUCUUAGAAAAAAAAGAAAGGAAAAUUAAAAGCCUCUCAGCACAGCCACAGUUGCUGUGGCUGUGGAGCUCUCCGGAGAUGGUCCAUCGGUCCUGUGAGUCACUCCCUGGGCCAGCAGGGUUGUAGUCUGGGUCGUCCUCAACAUCCUCCAGUUCCAAGUCACCCAGUUCCUGGAACAAAGACUCAUCUACUUCCACAUUAUUUCCAGCAUCCUCCAAGAACUGGAUAGCAGAUGUGUCAAGAUUAUGAUCGUUUUCAAACAGCUGUUUGCCACUUAAUUUAUUUUUUCCUGCUUGCUCUUCUUCUUUUAUCUGUUUCUUUUUAAUUUCCAAGAGUUCUGCAUCAAACUUGGCUUUCCAGCAUAAGAAAUUCUCAAUUGUAACCGGGGUGCCGUGGAAUAAUUGCUCCUCUGCUUCUUCUGCUUCUUUUUCUUUUAGUUUCUUUUCUUCCUCUCUUCUCGUUUUUAUCUGAUCUACCAUUUCCUUUAAUUUUUCUUGCACUGCUGUCACUAGAGUAAAGAUCAUGACCACACCAAGAUUUUCCUCAGCCUGUAAUGCUAAUAAUUUAAAAAUGUCUAUGACGUCAUUAUCCUCUAGGUUUUCCUGGGGAAAUAUUUCAUAAAGAGGAGCUUCAUCUGGGUAUUUUUCACUGUAUGUAAACUUGAGGGCAGUCUGGACAGUUUCAUCAUUUUCUCAGCCUCAGAUGUUACAGUGAUGGUGAAGCUGGGUGGAUUUUCUGAUAAUACUGAAGAGCCCUGGCCGCAACUCCAGAGUUUCUGUGAAGCAGUCGGAGUAGAUGGACUCCAGAGCCUCCAGUUCGUUUCUCUGCUCCUCGCUGUAGUCUGUCAUCGCGGCCCUGGCUGCUGCCCAUGGAGCACGCUGACGCUCAGGCAGCGCGCCACAGCCGAGUCCCGAGGCCUCCGGCCGGGCCGGCCUGCUGAGCCGCAGCCCUGCCUCGCUCUCCCAUCCCCAUUUUGCAAAGGAACAAAUUGAAGUCCGGAAAUGACAAGAUGAU